rnacentral:rRNA from 1 species
GACGAACGCUGGCGGCGUGCUUAACACAUGCAAGUCGAACGGAAAGGCCCUGCUUUUGUGGGGUGCUCGAGUGGCGAACGGGUGAGUAACACGUGAGUAACCUGCCCUUGACUUUGGGAUAACUUCAGGAAACUGGGGCUAAUACCGGAUAGGAGCUCCUGCUGCAUGGUGGGGGUUGGAAAGUUUCGGCGGUUGGGGAUGGACUCGCGGCUUACCAGCUUGUUGGUGGGGUAGUGGCUUACCAAGGCUUUGACGGGUAGCCGGCCUGAGAGGGUGACCGGCCACAUUGGGCCUGAGGUACGGCCCAGACUCCUACGGGAGGCAGCAGUGGGGAAUAUUGCACAAUGGGCGGAAGCCUGAUGCAGCAACGCCGCGUGCGGGAUGACGGCCUUCGGGUUGUAAACCGCUUUCGCCUGUGACGAAGCGUGAGUGACGGUAAUGGGUAAAGAAGCACCGGCUAACUACGUG